UUAUGGUAUAUAUAAUAUCAGUUUGCAGGUAUAUGUAUCAAUGAAAUCAUUACCACAUGAUAUUUCAAAACCCGGAUAUAAUUGGUUUAGGAUUGUUGAUAAUAAUGUUCGAUACUGACUAGACUUAGUAAAGUUUGUUAUUAUGGAUUAUAGUCAAUUAUUUCAUAUUUUAGUUUGGACUGUGGUACAUGUUUUACAAUUUAAUUCAGCUGAAUACUGUUACUUUGACUACGAUAAGUCAGCAAAUCACUGUUACCUUGACCACGGUACGUCAGGAAAAAACUCUUACAUAUACGUGGACCAUGAUACGGCACUAAAACACUGUUACAUUGACCGCGAUACGCAUGUACUUGUAUACUGUUACUUUGAUCAUGAUGACCACAAGGAUGAUGACGGAUUGUCAGAAGGGGCUAUACAUGGAAUGAUUAUAACUUGUGCCAUUUUAGCCGUAGUAGCAAUAUCUAUCUUUUGUGUACGUGCCUGUAUGACACAUAGUGGCAGUCAAGGGGAUACAACCGAGGACAGUUGUUAUGGACAACAACAAUCUACAUCACACAAAAUUGUUAUGGCACUCAGCAAUAUCCACAAGAAGUUCAUGCGUAUCCACCACUUGACUACAUGGCACUUCCGCCACAACCACCAGUUCAAUAUAUAGCAUAUCUACCAACUAUAAAUACACAAGCUAACUCACUAAUACAUUUAUGAUAGGGUCCAGAUCAUGUAUAUAUCCUUUUAAAUUUACUGAUGGUGACAAAACAAGCUUAUAUUACUUUAUUUUGAUUUUUAUAUAUACAUUGAUCAUGAAGUACAUAUAACAUUCCACUGAGAAAACCUGCCUUUUUAGAUUUUACUAAAUUCUUACAUCUUAACUUAUUAUUUUAAUACAUAGAUCUUACUAAAUAAAACCUCCUUUUAUUGUAUCUUUUAUGCAUAUUAAAAAGCAAAUUCAAAUGAAACAUAUUUUUAAUUAUAAAUAAAACUGAGAUACAUACAUACAUGUAAGUGAAUCUACUUGUAUGUAGACUAAUUUAUAACAAAAAGGUCCAUGUAAAUAUGCCUUGCAUGACACUCUUAUUGUUUAUUUAUAUGUGCUGUACAUAUGUUGGAAAAAGAUCAUUUUUGUUUUAUCCUUUUAAAUUUUAAAGUUAAGGCAAAACUCCAUAUAUAUUUGGAGGUGCUCCUAAUUAAAGGAGGCUGAUACUAAGAAGAAGAAGCUAAUCAUAACAAUCCAAUAACGGUACCAUUGAGUAGUCAUAUCAUACAAUCAACACAGCCAGAUGAACAAUCACCAUCUUAUUCUGAUGCUUUACAGAUGGAUAGAGAACGAAAGUCAUGAUAUCAUCAGACUCGUAUUUUAUAUACAUGUUCGUCUUACGAUAGUAAUGGUUGACUAGACUUGGUAGACUCCCGUGUAGAAAAUCUGCUCUUUAAACAUCAUGUUAAAGUGGAUAACAAUGUUUUCGAAUGUGUGCACUCCCGUGCUGGAAAUCUGUUUUUUACAGUGCGAUAGUUAAGAUUUUGUACACUUCCAUACUUCUGGUGUUUGGUAAAACUAACUGUAACAAUGGUCAUGCUUUUAUUAACAUCCUUUGACUUUCUAUUUUUUUAGUAAUAAGUUUUUAAAUUAUAUCAAUUAAAAUUAUUUUUUCCAAUUUUCAAGAAAAUAAUAUCAUGUAUCAUACAUAUGUUACAUAUUAUGCACAAACAAAUAUACUCUUUCAUCUUCGUUCUAUAAAUACAUUGUGAGGUUUUGCGUUCCAAAAAAUUGUUGUCAGACAUACAAACAAAUUUGAGGACAACGACCGAAUAGUAAGAUAAUCUGUAACGGAAUUAAAAAUCUGGAUGAACUUACACAAAACAAUAGGAUUUAUACUGGGACAUGUAAUACGGGGUUUUGAAACGAUAUUUUCAAGCUAAUUGACCCAUUUUAUACUUUUUAUACGCCCGUUUACCCGACGUAUUAUGGUAUACCGUUGUCCGUCUGUCCGUCCGUCGUCAACAUGUCGGACAUUAACUCAAAAACGCUUUAACCAAUUUGCAUAAAACUUUGGUGAAUUGUUUAUAUUGACGUAAGCUCCCUUUCGUUUUUUAUAAAUUUUAGAUUUUACGUUUCCGAGUUAUGGGGUUUUAUUCAUUAAAAAAGGGGGGAUUUUCCAAUUUUCGGACAAUAACUCAAGAAUGCUUUCAUCAACUUGCAAGAAAUUGUGGAAAAUUGGUUAUAUCUAUUGACAUGAGCUCGCUUUUGAUUUUUAUAAAUUUUAGAUUUUACGUUUCCGAGUUACAGGGUUUUAUUCAUAAAAAAAGGGGGAUUUUCCAGUUUUCGGGCAAAAACUCAUAAAUGCUUUCAGCAUGCAGUUCUUAUGAAACUUUGGUGAAUUGUUUAUAUCUAUUGAUGUAAGCUCCCUUUAUAAUUUUAUAAAUUUUACAUGUUACAUUUCUGAGUUAUGGGGUUUUAUUCAUUAAAAAAGGGGGGAUUUUCCAGUUUUCGGACAAUAACUCAAACAUGCUGUCAGCAAUACUCAUGAAACUUUGGUGAAUUGUUUAUAUCUAUUGUUGUAAGAUCCCUUUUGAUUUUCAUAAAUUUCUAAUAUGACAUUGAGAAUUAAUUGAACUUUAUUGAUCUUUACUCUUUGAAAAUGUGACGGGCGUAUCAUGCGCUCAUGGCGCAGCUGUUUAUUAUAAUUUCGUUUAAGAAGUAACUUAAAAUCUAAUAUUCGCUGGUGUGCAAUUAAACGACUUGUUAAUAUGUGUCUGUUGUUUAUUAUGGUAUACGUAUAUGCAUAAUUUGGGUUAAAUCAUAACAUUUAAGGAUUGUUCAUAAUUUUUUUUCUUCAGAUAUUUGUUCGGAAACUUUGUGACUAUGGUCAAUAAUGGAACUUUUGAAAACCUCACUAGCGUAUUUCAUCUGCAAGUACAAAUAUUAUAGAAAAAUGAGCAUUGAUUGAUAAUUUAUAUAGUUAAGAAAUAAUUCAUGGCAGCUGUAGAUUUGUUUUCAUUUAACCAUGGGCUGGGCAUUUAUAUUCUAUUAUUUUAUCACGAGCGAUAGCGAGGGGUGAAAUAUGAAUAUAAAUGACCAACCCAUGGUUAAAUGAAAACAAAUCUUCGGCUGCCAUGAAUUAUUUCGAUUCUAAUAGGGCAAAUUCUGUAAUUUUGUCAACCGUGAAAACCCUAUACACACGAUGCUGUUUUGGCUGUUCCGUUUUAGCCCAUAUAUAAUAAUAUUAAUGAUGUAAUAUUAUUCAAUAAUAAAUGAAAAAAACUCACAUUCUUCACCUAAA